rnacentral:rRNA from 1 species
CCUACGGGAGGCAGCAGUAGGGAAUAUUGCUCAAUGGGGGAAACCCUGAAGCAGCAACGCCUCGUGGAGGAUGACGGUUUUCGGAUUGUAAACUCCUUUUGUUAGAGAAGAUAAUGACGGUAUCUAACGAAUAAGCACAGGCUAACUCCGUGCCAGCAGCCGCGGUAAUACGGAGGGUGCAAGCGUUACUCGGAAUCACUGGGCGUAAAGAGCUCGUAGGCGGGAUAGCAAGUCAGAUGUGAAAUCCUAUGGGUUAACCAUAGAACUGCAUUUGAAACUGUUAUUCUAGAGUAUGGGAGAUGUAGGUGGAAUUCUUGGUGUAGGGGUAAAAUCCGUAGAGAUCAAGAGGAAUACUCAUUGCGAAGGCGACCUGCUAGAACAUAACUGACGCUGAUGCGCGAAAGCGUGGGGAGCAAACAGGAUUAGAUACCCGUGUAGUC